rnacentral:lncRNA from 1 species
CUAGAAUGGGUUUAUUUUUAAAUGUUUGGUUGUACAUUGAAUGUGUCUGAAGUAAACUUUGCUUUUCUAUGGUUUGAAUCAUCAGAGGAGAGUGAGAUGAAAACGUGGGUUGGGGGGAAAGCGUGAAAGUAAAGGCGUCUGAGAUGGGGACCAUCUUGCCGUGGGCUGACUCUGGCAGGAGACCAGGAGGCAUCAGAUGCCUUCUCCCAGCAAGGCAUCCCCCACCUUUGCCCAGCUGUCUUUUAUGCUUACUUCCGCUAAACUCUUGUUGUACAUGUGAAGCGGGGUUUGGGGUUGUUUUUUUUUUUUUGGUUUUUGGUUUUUGGUUUUUUUUUUUUUUUUUUUUGAUGGAAUUCACUGCUUUGUACAAAAAUCAAGAUGUAAAACUCUAUGGCACAAAUGCUCUUCCGUUUAUAAGAACUGUUUUGAAACUAUGGCUUGAUAGGCUUGACCAAGUAAAAUCCAGGGUGCCCAAUUACGUUUGAGUUUCAGAUAAACAAAAAUAUCUGGGACAUCCUUGCAUUUUAAGAAAGUGUUUUUUAUCCGAAAUUCGAACCUAACUAGGUAUCCUGUAUUUUUAUUUGCUUAACCUGGGAACCCUCGGCUUGUGUCCAAAAAAGGUUCUGUGCUUCUUCCAAGACUUUCUUUGGUUUCAUUGUAGAGGGAUGAUGGUGUGCUCUCCGUUUUGAUCCUGGUAAGACCCAUAGAGCCAAACCUAUGGCCCACACAGGACAGCAUCAGAGGCCUUUGGUAUACACUUAGCCAUUCAGCCCUACUUCCCAACUCAUUCUUAUUUUUCUUCCCAUCACUUUCCUUUCACUGCCCUUCCCCUUAUUAAAACAAUGAGAACAAUAUCAAGAAACUAUCUUGCUUGUUGCAAAUAUGCCUAAGCUACCUCAUCUGCUUUUACUGAAUGAGUCAUAGGGCCCAUUAAAAUAACUAAAUGCAUACUUACCAUUGACAGGCAUGAAAUAAAUAAGUUUUUAAUGCUAAUCAUUAUUAACUUUCUAUGAAUAUGGUUUUAUUAAUGCUUAUAGAUUAUUUCUUGAUCAGUCCCAAAGAACUAAAAUGUUACUUUGAGUUUUAAAUCAGAAACCUCAAGUUCAGGCUAUAAUAUUAUAUAUUUCAAGAAACAUUAGGAGUAAUUCUCACUAAGAACUGAAGAGGUUUUAAGAGCUUAAUGGAUGCCACUGCCAGAAUCCAACACUCAAAGUAUCUUAUGUGUUCUGGAUAGUGGGUUUCAUGAGUCCAAAAUAUCUUUUUUAAAAAAAUAGGAACAAAAAUAAAAAAAUAAAUAAAUAUAGGAACAGAUAUGAUCUUUGAAUAGCAUACAUCUUACCAUAAUUUGUUUUCAUCAUUCUCAAUUUCAGGUGAGCAUUAUUCAAAACAGCAAUGUGUAUUUGAAACAAGUUUUGUCUUAUCCUUCAGUUGAAGAAGUAAAAGAAAUCUUGGUCUUCUUUCUGAAAUGCUCUCCAUUACACAGACGUGUAAUGAUGCCUUAAUUUUUAAGUAAGUUAGUCGCAUCCCCAUAAUGCAUCUUUGAAAUCGCCUAAACUCUAUUUCAGUGGAAAUUUAGGAAUUUAUUGAGUGCCUUCUCACGGCUCGCUCUUUAUAGCUUUUAAACAAAAGCUAACGUGCUUCAGUAAUGAAGAAUCACUCUCCUUUUUGGCCCACACUGCUGGGAACAGACAGCAGACAUGCCUCUUGCUUGUUUCCCAUCUAAAUUACAUGAGGAUGGGAUUUAUGCAGGCUAUAAAUCUAGUCAGAAGAAAGCCUUUAAGUGGUAACCAAUUUCGUGGUGUGUAAGUAUCAUUGAUUUGUUAAUCUGAGAGUGUUUUUAUAAACUGAUUGGGAUUAGUGAGUGCUGAUAGCAGAGCUAUCUUAAGGCCCUUGAAUAAUGGUAAGUGGAGUGAAUAAGGCAGUGAAAAUUAACCCCUUGGCCCCACCUAUAAAUUUAAAUCACAGCCUUUGAAACGAGACAGCCAUCUCAUUAUAUGUCGUUUGCUAGUGUGUAUACUUUACGACACCAGCCGUGGAGACCAUCUUCUCAUGAUUGAUCAUUGUGGCUGUAGGUCCAGGACACUAAGGCAUCAUAAACUUAGGGACUUCAGGCUUUGUGAGGAUCAAUCCUCCAGGACCUAGGAAGGCCAACUGAACUAAUUCCCUAGAGACAUUUUGUGAAAGCACUCUUAAGAUGAAUUUAGAUUUGAUUUAGAUGUUCUACUUCUCUGCGAUAAAACAUAAUGAGAAAGAGACUUUGUGUUCUCUAAAAUUUCUGAUUUUGCAGUUUUGAGGACCAUGCUAUUUCAACAGAAAGGAUGUAAGGAUAUAUUCUGCUCAGAGGUGCACAGAAGAGAAAUUUUCUCAAUGGAAAUAGCAGUAUGAAAAAGAAAAAUGAGAAGUAAUGAAUUUCCAUCCUUAGAUUUUUCUUUUUUUUUUAAUCUCUUCUCGAAACGGAGCUUAAGGUAUUAGCACAGAAUUAGCACUUGCUCCAUAGGAUGAGGGUAAUUGCAUGUCUCCGUACAAGCAGGACACCAAGGUACUGAGCAAAGAUGGGCAAGAAGGUGGCACACAGAGCAGAAAACCAGACUCGGCUCCUCUCCAGUAAUAUGGUGGCAAAAACCAAAGUCACAAAUGAGGCGUGGAAUCUGCAGGGGAGAGACAACUGAAGGCUCCUUCCUAACAGAUCCACUCUUACAGAAAGUAAGAGCAUGAUUUUAAAAACUGGGACAGUCAUCCAGACAGAGAUUUCAGAUGUCUGUUGAAUCUGCUGCCUGCCUUGGGUGGCUGCUACUCUGCUGAAACCUCAGAGCUACAGCCAGAGCCAGCUUUAGUGGGGGGGAAAGAGGAAUAAUCUCCCCGCUUCUUCUUCCAGGUUCAGGGUUGGUAGGGAAGGGCCAGAUGUCUGUCCUACCUCCUGCAGCAGAUCUGGAUCUGUCACCAUACCUUUGUGUCUUGGGAUGUUGCUGGUAUAGAUUUAUGUCGGUAUCUGGGGAGCAAGGAAUUCUUAGCUGGUUUGAGCUACAGCUUUAUACCUAGUUAAUUGACAGCCAGCUCAGAGAAGUUUUCCAUUCGAUGUUAGAUACCUGGACUUUGAAAACUAAACAAUGGUUUGGAUGAAUUUUAAAACCUUAUAAUAUGUUCACACGAUUCAAGAAGCAAAUGCAGCUGACUCUACUUGGCUUCAGAAUAGAAUCUUGGGCUUUAAUUUCUCUUUCGGGUAGGGCAUCUCUAACUGCAAAAGAGGACCAACUUUUGUUUCCUGAGGACUCAUCUACUAAUAGUGAUUAUUCUUUUUUGGAAAUGAUUCUGAUAGAACUCUAAUCCUUUCCAAAGCAAAACUCCAUCAUCCAUCACAGAAAGCUGGGCUACACUCCUAGGCCAAAAGACCUCUCAUUUUUCACAUACAUAAGAAAACCAAAGUUCACAUAUAUGAAUCAAAUAUAUCAACAAACCUGCUUCUACAAUGAGUCUCUUGCAGACUAUGUCUUGUCAGAGCUGUCAGUGAGCAUCUCAUGAUGCCUGGGUGCUGCAGGAAGGGCAUGAGUACUUAACUCAUACUCGGGGGCUUCCUCCCAAACACCAGCCAAAAAAGAGUAGCAACUACAGAUAGACUGGAAAGAUGAAACAAUCAGGCUUUCUCUCUCUCUCUCUCUCUCUCUCUCUCUGCCUAAUUUAAAUGUUGGGAAGAAAAGCAAUCGGAUUCUGAAGUGUUCUCUUUGGUUCUUCUCCAAGUAACAAAUUGGGCUUCAUACAAGUAGAGGAGCCAUUGUUGACACUCAGUGACAGAUCCGAAGCAAUGCAUUCCCUAUGAAAUAACGCUGCAUUGCUAAUAAAGCCGUCCCAGCAGCCAAGCUUGUGCUGUUUAAUUUGUUUCCAUGGUGUGAUAGCAUGAUCCUGACAUGCUGAAAAAUGGCUGCACGGAGACUCCUGCCGCAAUUGUUGCUGAGCGCAUUUUCGAUGUAACAUUUGUUAUCAUGGUGCUGGGGAUGUCUGCUGAGAAGCAAUAUCCUAAAUGAAGCUGGCUGUAGAAUCCCCCUCGAAUAGAAUGGAACUGUGUAUCCACCUGCAGCUUAUCUCAAAUCUAUUUAAAUAGAUAUUCAUGGUACAUUUUCUAUUGGCUGAGACAGCUGUUCUCUUGCAGUAAAACCAGGGGAUCCUCCAUACCACUGCUUUUUACCUUUGGAUGGCCAGAUGUAAGGGAGCUAGGUUAAAAAAGUUUCUCAUAAUUAUAGGCCAGCUGUAGGGUUUUGGUUAUUUUUUUUUCUUUUGGCAUGUAAAAAUUUUAAUAAAAGAACUAUUAUUAUGUUAAAUUCGCUAAUCUUACAAAAUAGAUUUUCAAGCUUUUUAGACUAUAUUUAAUCUCGGAUCUUUCAGCACCAUUAUAUCCAGAGCGUGUGGGUGACUGCUCUAGAGAAAGGCACAGACGACCAAGGAGGCAGGGGAAAUGGUCACACAUCGUCCAGCUCGCAGGACUCAGGGAAGGGGGAGAAACUGGCCUCCCUGCUCGUGGGGGCACGAGAUUACAGACACGUUCUGAAGAGGGUUUUAGUGGGAAUCAUCGAGACGGUAAAUGCAGUAACACCUUCACAUGGCGGUAGCUGCACUUUGGGGAAGGCAUAUCCUCUUUCAAUCCUCUAAAUGGUUUGCAAAUAGGCAGGUAUGGACAACUCCCUGUGAUAAGCAUCAUCACGUUGAGGCUUUGGUUAAAGGAUGCUGCGUGUGCUGGAAAGGUGAGCAGCCGUGGAAAAUGACGAUGAAUGGACAUGGUAAGGUGUCUGUUCACAUCAUUCGGUAAAAAGAACAAGACACAGAAUCCCAUGCAUAGUGUGAUGCCACGGAUUUAAAAUCGUAUGUGAGGAGCUCCCAUUGUGGCUCACUGAUUAACGAACCCAACUGGCAUCCACGAGGACACGAGUUCGAUCCCUGGCCCUGCUCACUGGGUUAAAGAUCCGGUGCUGCUGUGAGCUGUGGUAUAGGUCGCAGAUGUGGCUCGGAUCCCGAGUUGCUGUGGCUGUGGUAUAGGCCAGCAGCUGUAGCUCCGAUUCAACCCCUAGCCUGGGAACCUCCAUAUGCC